CGCAGCAAACAGCACUCAGGCAUUAUACAUUACUUUGCGCUCUACAAAUUUGAUUUAUGGUUCAAGUUCUGGGUCUGUA
rnacentral:ribozyme from 1 species